GCUAAUGUAGCUUAAACUAAAGCGUAACACUGAAGAUGUUGAGAUAGUCCCUAGAAAGACCCAUAAGCA
rnacentral:tRNA from 1 species